rnacentral:rRNA from 1 species
GUGAGGAGAAGACGAAGACGAAAACGAAACCACCAGGGUGGACUG